CCUGCCCCUAGAGGUACUGCAGGCAUGGCUUCUGUGUCACACGUGCAUCAAUAGGUGACAUAAAGGGGAGAGGCUAUGUCUAAAUUCAGUGUUAUGACCUAUUAACAUCUGAGUAAUUAGUAUCCUAACAGU